rnacentral:rRNA from 1 species
CGGACCUGCCCGGUGACUAAAGUGUUAAACGGCCGCGGUACCCUAACCGUGCAAAGGUAGCAUAAUCAUUUGCCUUUUAAUUGGAGGCUUGUAUGAAUGGUUUGACGAGAGCUAAGCUGUCUCUUUUUUAAUAUUUAAAAAUUAACUUUUAGGUGAAGAGGCCUAAAUUUAUUUGAGGGACGAGAAGACCCUGUUGAGCUUUAAUGCUAUAAUAAAAUGUUGGAUUAUGGGAGUGUAUAGCUUUUUACUUUAUGAUAAGUAUUAUUUAUUUAAUAAAAUGUUUUUUUAUUAUUAAUUUUUAGUUGGGGCGACUGAGGAACAAAUAAAGCUUCCUUUGGAUUUAUAUGUAGGUAAAGAGACUAAUAAUGUUAGCAAAUUAAUAGGAUCCAGUAUUUUCUGAUUAAAGGAAGAAGUUACCACAGGGAUAACAGCGUAAUCUUUCUGGAGAGAUCUAAUCGAAAGGAGGGUUUGCGACCUCGAUGUUGGACUAAGAUAUCCUAAGGGUGUAGAAGCUCUUGAUGGUUGGUCUGUUCGACCAUUAAAAUCUUACGUGAUCUGAGU